AAUAUUGCACAAUGGGGGAAACCCUGAUGCAGCGACGCCGCGUGAGUGAAGAAGUAUUUCGGUAUGUAGAGCUCUAUCAGCAGGGAAGAAAAUGACUGUACGUGACUAAUAAGCUCUGGCUAACUACGUGCCAGCAGCCGCGGUAAUACGCAGGGGGCAAGCGUUAUCCGGAUUUACUGGGUGUAAAGGUAGCGGAGGUGGCGAGUCAAGUCAGAUGUGAAAGCCCGGGGCUCAACCCCGGGAUUGCAUUUGAAACUGGUUUGCUAGAGUGCAGGAGAGGUAAGUGGAAUUCCUAGUGUAGCGGUGAAAUGCGUAGAUAUUAGGAGGAACACCAGUGGCGAAGGCGGCUUACUGGACUGUAACUGACACUGAGGCUCGAAAGCGUGGGGAGCAAACA
rnacentral:rRNA from 1 species